CCCCUACGGGGGGCAGCAGUGGGGAAUAUUGCACAAUGGGGGAAACCCCGAUGCAGCAACGCCGCGUGAAGGAAGACGGUUUUCGGAUUGUAAACUUCUAUCAAUAGGGAAGAAAGAAGUGACGGUACCUAAAUAAGAAGCCCCGGCUAACUACGUGCCAGCAGCCGCGGUAAUACGUAGGGGACAAGCGUUAUCCGGAAUUACUGGGUGUAAAGGGAGAGUAGGCGGCAAGGUAAGCGAUAUGUGAAAGCCUUAAGCUUAACUUAAGGAUGGCAUAACGAACUAUCUAGCUAGAGUACAGGAGA
rnacentral:rRNA from 1 species